rnacentral:RNase_MRP_RNA from 1 species
UUCGCAGUGAACCUACGGGGAGCUUGCUCCCACCGAUGCUGCGGGGAAAGUCCCCGUGCCUCAGGGCAGAGAGUGCCAGCGGGAGACCGCAGGACUCGGGCAGGGUGUUGGCAGUGAGGCCACGGCGGAGCUGCAACAUCUGGCUUGGGUCGAUUGCAACAUCACAGCCAUGUCGUGAGUGCUCGAUUGAGGGCGCCAACUUAACGGGGCUCACUCUC